rnacentral:rRNA from 1 species
CCUACGGGGAGCAGCAGUCGAGAAUCAUUCACAAUGGGGGAAACUCUGAUGGUGCGACGCCGCGUGGGGGAAUGAAGGUCUUCGGAUUGUAAACCCCUGUCAUGUGGGAGCAAAUUAAAAAGAUAGUACCACAAGAGGAAGAGACGGCUAACUCUGUGCCAGCAGCCGCGGUAAUACAGAGGUCUCAAGCGUUGUUCGGAAUCACUGGGCGUAAAGCGUGCGUAGGCUGUUUCGUAAGUCGUGUGUGAAAGGCGCGGGCUCAACCCGCGGACGGCACAUGAUACUGCGAGACUAGAGUAAUGGAGGGGGAACCGGAAUUCUCGGUGUAGCAGUGAAAUGCGUAGAUAUCGAGAGGAACACUCGUGGCGAAGGCGGGUUCCUGGACAUUAACUGACGCUGAGGCACGAAGGCCAGGGGAGCGAAAGGGAUUAGAUACCCUUGUAGUC